AGACCGGUAGCGCAGCGGUCAUCGCUUCUCCGGAUCUAGGGUCGUGGGUUCGAUCCCCGCCCGGUCAG
rnacentral:tRNA from 1 species